UACGUAGGUGGCAAGCGUUGUCCGGAUUUAUUGGGUUUAAAGGGUGCGUAGGCGGUUUUUUAAGUCAGUGGUGAAAUACGGCAGCUCAACUGUCGAGGUGCCAUUGAUACUGGAGAACUUGAGUACUGAUGAGGUAGGCGGAAUGGACGGUGUAGCGGUGAAAUGCUUAGAUAUCGUCCAGAACACCGAUAGCGAAGGCAGCUUACUAAAGAGUAACUGACGCUGAGGCACGAAAGUGUGGGGAUCAAACAGG
rnacentral:rRNA from 1 species